CGAGGGGAGUGAAAAAGAACCUGAAACCGUGUACGUACAAGCAGUGGGAGCCCCACCACCAAAGCAUUUGCUGUACCGCGUUGACGGAGCGAAGCGACGUCAAACCGAUAAAACAGCAGUGUAAAGUGAGCCGCAGGGCGCUUUGCGCGACAGCGCAAAGGCAGGCGGUUUCGCGUAGCGAAAGCGAAUGCUUUGGGGUGGGGUGACUGCGUACCUUUUGUAUAAUGGGUCAGCGACUUAUAUUCUGUAGCAAGGUUAACCGAAUAGGGGAGCCGGAGGGAAACCGAGUCUUAAUUGGGCGUUAAGUUGCAGGGUAUAGACCCGAAACCCGGUGAUCUAGCCAUGGGCAGGUUGAAGGUUGGGUAACACUAACUGGAGGACCGAACCGACUAAUGUUGAAAAAUUAGCGGAUGACCUGUGGCUGGGGGUGAAAGGCCAAUCAAACCGGGAGAUAGCUGGUUCUCCCCGAAAGCUAUUUAGGUAGCGCCUCGUGAAUUCAUCUCCGGGGGUAGAGCACUGUUUCGGCUAGGGGGCCAUCCCGGCUUACCAACCCGAUGCAAACUGCGAAUACCGGAGAAUGUUAUCACGGGAGACACACGGCGGGUGCUAACGUCCGUCGUGAAGAGGGAAACAACCCAGACCGCCAGCUAAGGUCCCAAAGUCAUGGUUAAGUGGGAAACGAUGUGGGAAGGCCCAGACAGCCAGGAUGUUGGCUUAGAAGCAGCCAUCAUUUAAAGAAAGCGUAAUAGCUCACUGGUCGAGUCGGCCUGCGCGGAAGAUGUAACGGGGCUAAACCAUGCACCGAAGCUGCGGCAGCGACACUGUGUGUUGUUGGGUAGGGGAGCGUUCUGUAAGCCUGUGAAGGUGUGUCGUGAGGCAUGCUGGAGGUAUCAGAAGUGCGAAUGCUGACAUAAGUAACGAUAAAGCGGGUGAAAAGCCCGCUCGCCGGAAGACCAAGGGUUCCUGUCCAACGUUAAUCGGGGCAGGGUGAGUCGACCCCUAAGGCGAGGCCGAAAGGCGUAGUCGAUGGGAAACGGGUUAAUAUUCCCGUACUUGGUGUUACUGCGAAGGGGGGACGGAGAAGGCUAUGUUGGCCGGGCGACGGUUGUCCCGGUUUAAGCGUGUAGGUGUGUGUUCCAGGUAAAUCCGGUUCACUUUAACACUGAGGCGUGACGACGAGGCACUACGGUGCUGAAGCAACAAAUGCCCUGCUUCCAGGAAAAGCCUCUAAGCAUCAGGUAACAUCAAAUCGUACCCCAAACCGACACAGGUGGUCAGGUAGAGAAUACCAAGGCGCUUGAGAGAACUCGGGUGAAGGAACUAGGCAAAAUGGUGCCGUAACUUCGGGAGAAGGCACGCUGACACGUAGGUGAAGUGAUUUACUCAUGGAGCUGAAGUCAGUCGAAGAUACCAGCUGGCUGCAACUGUUUAUUAAAAACACAGCACUGUGCAAACACGAAAGUGGACGUAUACGGUGUGACGCCUGCCCGGUGCCGGAAGGUUAAUUGAUGGGGUCAGCGCAAGCGAAGCUCCUGAUCGAAGCCCCGGUAAACGGCGGCCGUAACUAUAACGGUCCUAAGGUAGCGAAAUUCCUUGUCGGGUAAGUUCCGACCUGCACGAAUGGCGUAAUGAUGGCCAGGCUGUCUCCACCCGAGACUCAGUGAAAUUGAACUCGCUGUGAAGAUGCAGUGUACCCGCGGCAAGACGGAAAGACCCCGUGAACCUUUACUAUAGCUUGACACUGAACAUUGAGCCUUGAUGUGUAGGAUAGGUGGGAGGCUUUGAAGUGUGGACGCCAGUCUGCAUGGAGCCGACCUUGAAAUACCACCCUUUAAUGUUUGAUGUUCUAACGUGGACCCGUUACCCGGGUUGCGGACAGUGUCUGGUGGGUAGUUUGACUGGGGCGGUCUCCUCCUAAAGAGUAACGGAGGAGCACGAAGGUUGGCUAAUCCUGGUCGGACAUCAGGAGGUUAGUGCAAUGGCAUAAGCCAGCUUGACUGCGAGCGUGACGGCGCGAGCAGGUGCGAAAGCAGGUCAUAGUGAUCCGGUGGUUCUGAAUGGAAGGGCCAUCGCUCAACGGAUAAAAGGUACUCCGGGGAUAACAGGCUGAUACCGCCCAAGAGUUCAUAUCGACGGCGGUGUUUGGCACCUCGAUGUCGGCUCAUCACAUCCUGGGGCUGAAGUAGGUCCCAAGGGUAUGGCUGUUCGCCAUUUAAAGUGGUACGCGAGCUGGGUUUAGAACGUCGUGAGACAGUUCGGUCCCUAUCUGCCGUGGGCGCUGGAGAACUGAGGGGGGCUGCUCCUAGUACGAGAGGACCGGAGUGGACGCAUCACUGGUGUUCGGGUUGUCAUGCCAAUGGCACUGCCCGGUAGCUAAAUGCGGAAGAGAUAAGUGCUGAAAGCAUCUAAGCACGAAACUUGCCCCGAG
rnacentral:rRNA from 1 species